rnacentral:rRNA from 1 species
CAGCCGCCGCGGGAAUACGAAGGGUGCAAGCGUUAAUCGGAAUUACUGGGCGUAAAGCGUGCGUAGGCGGUUUGUUAAGUCUGCUGUGAAAUCCCCGGGCUCAACCUGGGAAUGGCAGUGGAUACUGGCAAGCUAGAGUGUGUCAGAGGAUGGUGGAAUUCCCGGUGUAGCGGUGAAAUGCGUAGAGAUCGGGAGGAACAUCAGUGGCGAAGGCGGCCAUCUGGGACAACACUGACGCUGAGGCACGAAAGCGUGGGGAGCAAACAGGAUUAGAGACCCGCGUAGUCCCUGUCUCUUAUAA